UAUUAGCCUUAGUCUCCAGAAGACCAGAUGGCCAAUCAAUAUUUCUCAAGCCAUUAAUGGCGAGCGAAGGAGGGAGAUCUGUUAUUUAAAAAUGAGGCAGCAAUACGAUUGCAUAUAAAAAUGGCAGACAGGAGAGUGGAGCACUCAUGCUCGUAUUUUUUCAGCUUUUAUCUAACACACACACACACACACACACCCUGACUGCCUCUAUCUGCCUUCUUCUUUGGCUUUUUUCCUUUGGCUAUAAUCGGCCUCAUCUGCAGCAGAUAAAUUUCCGUCCCUCAGCGAGGGUAGGCCAAGAACCCCAACCAGCUCAAAUUGACCCCAACAAAACAUGACAUGGGCAUGGCAACCAACUGCCUGCGGGGAUGAUUGGUACAUGGUGGUUUGGAGUGCUAGAAGAGCAGCCAUUUGGGGAUUUUCUUGCCUCUGUCAACGUGCUGGAAACCAAUCCGUCAAGUCUUAUUUUUUUUCACCGCUACACAGGAAAAUGGGCCACGGGAAUCGGCAAGUGCCAUUCGGACUUGCAUGCAGGCCAACCAUUUAUUAGGAAAAGUGGCAGUGGUGAUGCAAGCUCUCGUGGGGCUUGAAAGACGAUUGAGUGCGUGUCUCCACAACGCCGCCAGAGCUCUUACUCCAGAAACAGCGUGCGGUCAAGAUGGGAGAAAAACAAGUCCUGCAAUUGUUUUGGGUUGUGUAUUCCAAAAAGCAGCUCGUCACGUUCUCUCGCUGCAUGGCUUUCACUGCCGCUUCCGAAACAGCUCGUAUUCAAGUUAAACACCAGGCUAUCUAAAGCCUGCUAAGCACCUCCGCAAAGUUACGCAGUGUAAAUCAGCUGCCAUCAGCCAAGGACGCCACAGCCUAUCAGUGGCAAAUUAAAAGUUGUUGCCUCUGUUUUGGACCCACGUCUAUAUUUUUUCCGCUGCUGUUCGUGACAGCUGCGGGCAGGAUGCCAACACGGGCUGGUUUACAAAGCCGUGGAAGGCUGAACGGAUAUGAGCCGCGGAAAGUAUAUCAUAUCAAAGUGUGAUUAUAUACUAUUCUAUCUGAGCGGAUACACCUUGAUGUAUGAGGCAAUUGGGGACAGGCUGUCAGUACUCUGUCCUCGGGCCCUCGGCUUUCAAGGAUGCCGAGCCGGUCACAUCCAAUUUCAACACCCAAAUUUGCUUCCGUGUUACUUUGAUAAGAACUCCAAAUGUCCUCUGAGGUGCAGUGCGGAAUGACAUGUGCAUUGGAGAUCCGCAACAAGGAGAGGCGGUUAUUUUCAGGAAGAGUCCGUUGGAGCGGGAACACCGUCUGAAUGUAAAAAGGUAGAAAAACAGUCUCUCUGUCUAGUCAGCAGAGAGUUAGCAGAGCACUAUGGAUGGCUGUGUCAAUACAAGUGACUCUUUGUUUUAUAGCCACACCAGCUCGCCAUCCAUCCAUGGCGCGCGGGUUAUUGACUUAACAUUACGAGCGUUGUAUUUGUGCCUCUGAGCACGACUCGGGCUAAAAGCAUAUUUGUCCAUAACGGAUCCAUCACUCUGACUAUUCAUUUUAAAUCAACAACAAACCUGAACAACUAACGAAAACUAAAAACGUUGCAACACAUCAGCAACAAUUCCGACAUAAAACGCUGAUACACUGACAGUCAAAAGAAACAAUCGUCAUUAUUGCAAAUAUAAUCCAAGCCAUCACAAUUUUAAAUUAAAAAAAGCCUGCUUUGUCAACUUGCAAUUAAGCUAAUCUGGAAACAAAAAAAUAUUUA